UCUGGUCUUGGGACACUGUCAGGUGGGCAGUUUGACUGGGGCGGUCGCCUCCCAAAAGGUAACGGAGGCGCUCAAAGGUUCUCUCAGUACGGUCGGAAAUCGUACGUAGAGUGUAAAGGCAAAAGAGAGCUUGAUUGCAAGACAUACAGGUCGAGCAAGGAUGAAAAUCGGACUUAGUGAUCCGGUGGUUCUGCGUGGAAGGGCCAUCGCUCAACGGAUAAAAGCUACCCUGGGGAUAACAGGCUUAUCUCCCCCAAGAGUCCACAUCGACGGGGAGGUUUGGCACCUCGAUGUCGGCUCAUCACAUCCGGGGGCUGUAGUAGGUCCCAAGGGUUGGGCUGUUCGCCCAUUAAAGUGGUACGCGAGCUGGGUUCAGAACGUCGUGAGACAGUUCGGUCCCUAUCCGUCGCAGGCGUAGGAAAUUUGAGAAGACCUGU
rnacentral:rRNA from 1 species